UUGUCUCAAAGAUUAAGCCAUGCAUGUCUCAGUACAAGCCAAAUUAAGGUGAAACCGCGAAAGGCUCAUUAAAUCAGUUAUGGUUCCUUAGAUCGUACCAUUAGUUACUUGGAUAACUGUGGUAAUUCUAGAGCUAAUACAUGCAAACAGAGCUUUGACCUGAAAAGGAAGAAGCGCUUUUAUUAGAUCAAAACCAAUCGGUGGCGGGCAAAAUUUUUGUUCGUCAUCGUAUAAUAUGGUGAAUCUGAAUAACUUUAUGCUGAUCGCACGGUCUUGCACCGGCGACGUAUCUUUCAAAUGUCUGCCUUAUCAACUGUCGAUGGUAGGUUCUGCGCCUACCAUGGUUGUAACGGGUAACGGGGAAUCAGGGUUCGAUUCCGGAGAGGGAGCCUGAGAAACGGCUACCACAUCCAAGGAAGGCAGCAGGCGCGCAAAUUACCCACUCCCGGCACGGGGAGGUAGUGACGAAAAAUAACGAUACGGGACUCAUCCGAGGCCCCGUAAUCGGAAUGAGUACACUCUAAACCCUUUAACGAGGAUCAAUUGGAGGGCAAGUCUGGUGCCAGCAGCCGCGGUAAUUCCAGCUCCAAUAGCGUAUAUUAAAGUUGUUGCGGUUAAAAAGCUCGUAGUCGGAUUUGUGUCGCACGCCGCCGGUUCAUCGUUCGCGGUGUUAACUGGCGUGCCGUGAGACGUCCUGCCGGUGGGCUUAGCUCGCAAGGGCGGCCCAAUUCAAUCCUGCCGCGGUGCUCUUCAUUGAGUGUCGAGGUGGGCCGGCACGUUUACUUUGAACAAAUUAGAGUGCUUAAAGCAGGCUAAAAUUUUGCCUGAAUACUGUGUGCAUGGAAUAAUGGAAUAGGACCUCGGUUCUAUUUUGUUGGUUUUCGGAACCCCGAGGUAAUGAUUAAUAGGAACGGAUGGGGGCAUUCGUAUUGCGACGUUAGAGGUGAAAUUCUUGGAUCGUCGCAAGACGGACAGAAGCGAAAGCAUUUGCCAAAAA
rnacentral:rRNA from 1 species